CCUGGGCUUGACAUGUCAGGAAGUCCGCAGAGAUGUGGAUGUGCUCGAAAGAGAACCUGAACACAGGUGCUGCAUGGCUGUCGUCAGCUCGUGUCGUGAGAUGUUGGGUUAAGUCCCGCAACGAGCGCAACCCUCACUUUUAGUUGCCAUCAUUUAGUUGGGCACUCUGAAAGAACUGCCAGUGAUAAGCUGGAGGAAGGUGGGGAUGACGUCAAGUCCUCAUGGCCCUUACGUGUUGGGCUACACACGUGCUACAAUGGUAUCUACAACAGGAAGCAAGACUGCGAGGUCAAGCAAAUCCUUAAAAGAUACCUCAGUUCGGAUUGCACUCUGCAACUCGAGUGCAUGAAGCUGGAAUUACUAGUAAUCGUGGAUCAGCGUGCCACGGUGAAUGCGUUCCCGGGUCUUGUACACACGCAAUC
rnacentral:rRNA from 1 species